GAGGGUAUAGCUCAAUACAGAAAGCGUGCUUAGCAUGCACAAGGUCCUGAGUUCAAGCCUCAGUACCUCCA
rnacentral:tRNA from 1 species